rnacentral:rRNA from 2 species
AGGGAUCAUUACAAGUGACCCCGGUCUAACCACCGGGAUGUUCAUAACCCUUUGUUGUCCGACUCUGUUGCCUCCGGGGCGACCCUGCCUUCGGGCGGGGGCUCCGGGUGGACACUUCAAACUCUUGCGUAACUUUGCAGUCUGAGUAAACUUAAUUAAUAAAUUAAAACUUUUAACAACGGAUCUCUUGGUUCUGGCAUCGAUGAAGAACGCAGCGAAAUGCGAUAAGUAAUGUGAAUUGCAGAAUUCAGUGAAUCAUCGAAUCUUUGAACGCACAUUGCGCCCCCUGGUAUUCCGGGGGGCAUGCCUGUUCGAGCGUCAUUUCACCACUCAAGCCUCGCUUGGUAUUGGGCAUCGCGGUCCGCCGCGUGCCUCAAAUCGACCGGCUGGGUCUUCUGUCCCCUAAGCGUUGUGGAAACUAUUCGCUAAAGGGUGUUCGGGAGGCUACGCCGUAAAACAACCCCAUUUCUAAGGUUGACCUCGGAUCAGGUAGGGAUACCCGCU